rnacentral:sRNA from 1 species
AAUAGGCUUGUCGCCACUCUAAUGGUGGCAAAUUUUCUGGUAAUGUUCACUUGACGUAAGUUUUUUCCCUGCCCUAGAUUUCCCACCCAUGGUACUAGCAUACCUGGGAAAACUGGGGCUCUGUAAGUCUCCAGCGUUUGUAGUCCCUCGGGGCAAAUAUUCAAAUAAAAUUCUAUAGCAAUGAUGUAACAGUAAAGUGGCCUGCUAUGGUCCUCGAAUUUAAUCAAGCUUACUAAAGGAAAGUUCUUUUAGCUUCUGUUUCAUUGCUGUUGAUUGUGAUGGUGGUGACACAGCAUCUUAAACAAUUAUUUGAUGGAUGGUUCCUCUACCCUGCCGUCACACUAGAGCGCUGUUGCCAGGAAAUGACUGCCAAACCCAACAUCACUCACCCCGGCAGCUUUCUGGACUCUAGCACCUAUCACCUAUAAUCUGCUGAUAAGAUAAAGAGACAUUCUGAUUUUUUUAAAGAUAGGUGUUGGGGGGCAACGGGGGAGCAAAUAGCUCAGCAUCCACGAAGAGGUGAAGCCCUACUGCCCGGUAACAGUGCUAUUCUUCGGCUAGAAGACAGCUCUCAGAAGUUUGCUUCCCCUGUGACCUUGUGGAAUCCAGGAACUGAACUCAUGUCUAAUGACAUGAUUUCGUCAAGAAUCUCUCGACCACAGAAAACAGCAUUAUUUAAGAGUUCCUUGCAGGA